UACGGGGGGAGCAAGCGUUGUUCGGAUUUACUGGGCGUAAAGGGCGCGUAGGCGGCCAGCACAAGUCAGUUGUGAAAUCUCCGAGCUUAACUCGGAAAGGUCAACUGAUACUGUGCGGCUAGAGUGCGGAAGGGGCAACUGGAAUUCUUGGUGUAGCGGUGAAAUGCGUAGAUAUCAGGAGGAACACCGAUUGCGAAGGCAGCUCGCUGGAACGUUACUGACGCUGAGACGCGAAAGCGUGGGGAGCAAACAGG
rnacentral:rRNA from 1 species